CCGAAUUCGUCGAUAACAGAGUUUGAUCCUGGCUCAUCUUGAACGCUGGCGGCAGGCCUAACACAUGCAAGUCGAGCGGAUGAUGGGAGCUUGCUCCCGGAUUCAGCGGCGGACGGGUGAGUAAUGCCUAGGAAUCUGCCUGGUAGUGGGGGACAACGUUUCGAAAGGAACGCUAAUACCGCAUACGUCCUACGGGAGAAAGCAGGGGACCUUCGGGCCUUGCGCUAUCAGAUGAGCCUAGGUCGGAUUAGCUAGUUGGUGGGGUAAAGGCCUACCAAGGCGACGAUCCGUAACUGGUCUGAGAGGAUGAUCAGUCACACUGGAACUGAGACACGGUCCAUACUCCUACGGGAGGCAGCAGUGGGGAAUAUUGGACAAUGGGCGAAAGCCUGAUCCAGCCAUGCCGCGUGUGUGAAGAAGGUCUUCGGAUUGUAAAGCACUUUAAGUUGGGAGGAAGGGCAGUAAGUUAAUACCUUGCUGUUUUGACGUUACCAACAGAAUAAGCACCGGCUAACUUCGUGCCAGCAGCCGCGGUAAUACGAAGGGUGCAAGCGUUAAUCGGAAUUACUGGGCGUAAAGCGCGCG
rnacentral:rRNA from 1 species